GACAGAGGUGCCAAGCGUUAGGCGGAAUCACUGGGCUUAAAGCGUGUGUAGGCGGAUGUCUAAGUACCUUGUGAAAUCCCAUGGCUCAACCAUGGAACUGCUUGGUAUACUGGCGAUCUUGUGCAACCUAGGGGCGAGCGGAACAGAUGGUGGAGCGGUGAAAUGCGUAGAUAUCAUCUGGAACGCCAAUGGUGAAAACAGCUCGCUGGGGGUUUGCAGACGCUGAGACACGAAAGCCAGGGGAGCGAACGGG
rnacentral:rRNA from 1 species